rnacentral:rRNA from 1 species
UUCGCUAGUAAUCGCGCAUCAGCCAUGGCGCGGUGAAUACGUUCCCGGGCCUUGUACACACCGCCCGUCAAGCCAUGGAAGCCGGGGGCGCUUGAAGUGCGUUGCCGCAAGGCGCGCCCUAGAGCGAAACCGGUGACUGGGGCUAAGUCGUAACAAGGUACC